AUUUAAAUAGCUUAUGUAGAGCAUAAUAUUGAAGAUAUUAAGGAGAUUGAAUAGUCUUUAAAUG
rnacentral:tRNA from 1 species